rnacentral:rRNA from 1 species
CCUACGGGAGGCAGCAGUGAGGAAUAUUGGUCAAUGGGCGCGAGCCUGAACCAGCCAAGUAGCGUGAAGGAUGACUGCCCUACGUGUUGUAAACUUCUUUUAUAAAGGAAUAAAGUGAGGCACGUGUGCCUUUUUGUAUGUACUUUAUGAAUAAGGAACGGCUAACUCCGUGCCAGCAGCAGCGGUAAUACGGAGGAUCCGAGCGUUAUCCGGAUUUAUUGGGUUUAAAGGGAGCGUAGAUGGGUUGUUAAGUCAGUUGUGAACGUUUGCGGCUCAACCGUAAAAUUGCAAUUGAUACUGGCAGGCUUGAGUACAGUUGAGGUAGGCGGAAUUCGUGGUGUAGCGAUGAAAUGCUUAGAUAUCACGAAGAACUCCGAUUGCGAAGGCAGCUUACUAAACUGCCACUGACAUUGAUGCUCGAAAGUGUGGGUAUCAAACAGGAUUAGAUACCCGAGUAGUC